GAACGAACGCUGGCGGCGUGCUUACACAUGCAAGUCGAACGAUGAACCGGUUUCGGCCGGGGAUUAGUGGCGAACGGGUGAGUAACACGUGGGCAAUCUGCCCUGGCACUCUGGGACAAGCCCUGGAAACGGGGUCUAAUACCGGAUAUGACCACCGACCGCAUGGUCUGGUGGUGGAAAGCUCCGGCGGUGCAGGAUGAGCCCGCGGCCUAUCAGCUUGUUGGUGGGGUGAUGGCCUACCAGAGGGCGACGACGGGUAGCCGGUCCUGAGAGGGCGACCGGCCACGACUGGGACUGAGACACGGCCCAGACUCACUACGGGAGGCAGCAGUGGGGAAUAUUGCACAAUGGGCGAAAGCCUGAUGCAGCGACGCCGCGUGAGGGAUGACGGCCUUCGGGUUGUAAACCUCUUUCAGCAGGGAAGAAGCGCAAGUGACGGUACCUGCAGAAGAAGCGCCGGCUAACUACGUGCCAGCAGCCGCGGUAAUACGUAGGGCGCGAGCGUUGUCCGGAAUUAUUGGGCGUAAAGAGCUCGUAGCGGCUUGUCACGUCGGAUGUGAAAGCCCGGGGCUUAACCCCGGGUCUGCAUUCGAUACGGGCAGGCUAGAGUUCGGUAGGGGAGAUCGGAAUUCCUGGUGUAGCGGUGAAAUGCGCAGAUAUCAGGAGGAACACCGGUGGCGAAGGCGGAUCUCUGGGCCGAUACUGACGCUGAGGAGCGAAAGCGU
rnacentral:rRNA from 1 species